GCAUUGUUGGUUUAGUGGUAGAAUUCUCGGUGACCCGGGUUCGAUUCCCGGACAAUGCA
rnacentral:tRNA from 1 species